rnacentral:rRNA from 1 species
UACAGAGGGGGCAAGCGUUGUUCGGAAUGAUUGGGCGUAAAGCGUCCGCAGGUGGCUAUGUAAGUCUGCUGUUAAAGAGUGAGGCUCAACCUCAUAAGAGCAGUGGAAACUACAUGGCUAGAGUGCGUUCGGGGCAGAGGGAAUUCCUGGUGUAGCGGUGAAAUGCGUAGAGAUCAGGAAGAACACCGGUGGCGAAAGCGCUCUGCUAGGCCGCAACUGACACUGAGGGACGAAAGCUAGGGGAGCGAAUGGG